rnacentral:rRNA from 1 species
AUGAACGCUAGCGACAGGCCUAACACAUGCAAGUCGAGGGGCAGCACAAGGAGCAAUCUGAGGUGGCGACCGGCGCACGGGUGAGUAACACGUAUGCAACCUGCCUGUAAGCGGGGAAUAACCCGUUGAAAGACGGACUAAUACCGCAUAAUACUAAAUUACUGCAUGGUAAUUUAUUUAAACAUUUAUGGCUUACAGAUGGGCAUGCGCAUGAUUAGCUAGUUGGAGAGGUAACGGCUCCCCAAGGCAACGAUCAUUAGGGGUUCUGAGAGGAAGGCCCCCCACACUGGUACUGAGACACGGACCAGACUCCUACGGGAGGCAGCAGUGAGGAAUAUUGGUCAAUGGACGAGAGUCUGAACCAGCCAAGUCGCGUGCAGGAAGAAUGUUCCCUAUGGAUUGUAAACUGCUUUUGCAGGGGAAUAAAGUGCAUCACGUGUGAUGUUUUGUAUGUACUCUGCGAAUAAGGAUCGGCUAACCCCGUGCCAGCCGCUGC